rnacentral:rRNA from 1 species
GACGAACGCUGGCGGCGUGCCUAAUACAUGCAAGUCGAGCGGAAGUUGGAGAGCUUGCUCUUCAACUUUAGCGGCGGACGGGUGAGUAACACGUGGGCAACCUGCCCUGCAGAUCGGGAUAACUCCGGGAAACCGGUGCUAAUACCGAAUAGUUUUCGCCACCUCCUGGUGGCGUACGGAAAGACGGUUUCGGCUGUCACUGCAGGAUGGGCCCGCGGCGCAUUAGCUAGUUGGUGGGGUAACGGCCCACCAAGGCGACGAUGCGUAGCCGACCUGAGAGGGUGAUCAGACACACUGGGACUGAGACACGUCCCAGACUCCUACGGGAGGCAGCAGUAGGGAAUCUUCCGCAAUGGACGAAAGUCUGACGGAGCAACGCCGCGUGAGUGACGAAGGUUUUCGGAUCGUAAAACUCUGUUGUGAGGGAAGAACAAGUACCACUUAACUACUGGUACCUUGACAGUACCUCACCAGAAAGCCACGGCUAACUACGUGCCAGCAGCCGCAGUAAAAC